rnacentral:rRNA from 1 species
GCGGCCUAUCAGCUUGUUGGUGAGGUAACGGCUCACCAAGGCUACGAUGGGUAACCGGCCUGAGAGGGCGAACGGUCACACUGGGACUGAGACACGGCCCAGACUCCUACGGGAGGCAGCAGUGGGGAAUAUUGGGCAAUGGGCGGAAGCCUGACCCAGCGACGCCGCGUGAGGGAUGAAGGCCUUCGGGUUGUAAACCUCUUUCAGCAGGGAAGAAGCGAAAGUGACGGUACCUGCAGAAGAAGCACCGGCUAACUAUGUGCCAGCAGCCGCGGUAAUACAUAGGGUGCAAGCGUUGUCCGGAAUUAUUGGGCGUAAAGAGCUCGUAGGUGGCUCGUCACGUCGAAUGUGAAACCCUGAGGCUCAACCUCAGGCCUGCAUCCGAUACGGGCGAACUGGAGUGUGGUAGGGGAGACUGGAAUUCCU